rnacentral:rRNA from 1 species
UACAGAGGGUGCAAGCGUUGCUCGGAAUUACUGGGCGUAAAGCGCACGUAGGCGGAUCUUUAAGUCAGGGGUGAAAUCCUGGAGCUCAACUCCAGAACUGCCUUUGAUACUGAGGAUCUUGAGUCCGGGAGAGGUGAGUGGAACUCCGAGUGUAGAGGUGAAAUUCGUAGAUAUUCGCAAGAACACCAGUGGCGAAGGCGGCUCACUGGCCCGGUACUGACGCUGAGGUGCGAAAGCGUGGGGAGCAAACAGG